rnacentral:rRNA from 1 species
CCUACGGGAGGCAGCAGUGGGGAAUAUUGCGCAAUGGGCGAAAGCCUGACGCAGCGACGCCGCGUGAGGGAUGAAGGUCUUCGGAUCGUAAACCUCUGUCAGCAGGGAAGAACGGUCACUGUGCUAAUCAGCAGUGAAUUGACGGUACCUGCAAAGGAAGCACCGUCUAACUCCGUGCCAGCAGCCGCGGUAAUACGGAGGGUGCGAGCGUUAAUCGGAAUUACUGGGCGUAAAGCGAGCGUCGGCUGUAUGUCAAGGCAAGGGUGAAAUCCCCGCGCUCAACGUGGGAACUGCCUUUGAACAUGGAUAACUGGAGUGGGUGAGAGGAUAGUGGAAUGCCAGGGGUAGGAGUGAAA